rnacentral:piRNA from 1 species
UAGGAGCAGGAGUCCCUCUUCUUCAGU